GCCGUAUUACACUGGCCAGGACUUCCAGGACUAUGUUGAAAUAAGAAGGGUAGAAGCAGACAUCCUUGCUUUGUUCCUACCCUUAGAGGAAAGCAUUCGGUCUUUCACCAUUAAGUAUGGUAUUAGCUUAGGUUUUACGUAUAUACUCUUUAUCAGGUUGAGACAGCUCCACUUUAGUUCUGUAUUGCUGAAUUCAAUUUGCUAAUAUUUAGAGUCUAUAACCACAAGGAAUAUUAGUCUGCAGUUUUCUUUUGUUGCACUAUCUUUGUCUGGUUUUGGUGUCAGGAUAAAAUUAGCUUCUUAAGAUGGAUUGGGAAGGUUUCCCUUCUCUUCUAUUUUGUAAAAGAGUUUGUGUAGAAUUAGUGUUAAUUAUUUAAAUAUUUGAUAGAAUUCUCUACAGAACC
rnacentral:lncRNA from 10 species